rnacentral:rRNA from 1 species
GGGUCUUGAGCACUCGCAAGAUCUCGACGUCCAUGAACUUAUUGACUUCUUUCGCAGCUUAAACUACAAGACGUUCAUGCUCGGCUUAAGACAACUC